GAUGAACGCUGGUCGUGCUUAACACAUGCAAGUCGAACGAAGCUGUUAAAAGGAAGUCUUCGGAUGGAAUUUUAACAGACUUAGUGGCGGACGGGUGAGUAACGCGUGGAUAACCUGCCUUAUACAGGGGGAUAACGGAGAGAAAUUUCCGCUAAGACCGCAUAAGACCACAGCACCGCAUGGUGCAGGGGUAAAAUAUUAAUAGGUAUAAGAUGGAUCCGCGUCCGAUUAGCUGGUUGGUGAGGUAGAGGCUCACCAAGGCGACGAUCGGUAGCCGGCCUGAGAGGGUGAACGGCCACAUUGGGACUGAGACACGGCCCAAACUCCUACGGGAGGCAGCAGUGGGGAAUAUUGGACAAUGGGGGAAACCCUGAUCCAGCGACGCCGCGUGAGUGAAGAAGUAUUUCGGUAUGUAAAGCUCUAUCAGCAGGGAAGAAAAUGACGG
rnacentral:rRNA from 1 species